AUCGGACAUUCGCUUCCCAAAAUUUUAAUAUUUGUGAUUUGCUUCGAUUUUAACGGAUAUUGAUUUUUAGUAUUUGCUUUGAUUCGAAGGUUUACGGAUAUCCGGAAUAUUCGAAUCAAAUCGAAACGAAUAACGAAUCGAAUCAAAUUUAACUCGAAAAAAUUGGGUGCUAUCAUAUAGCUUUGUAUCGGCUAAGUUCACGAGUUGGAGAUAAGCGGACUCGAACCGCUGAUAUCCACCACAGGGUAAACCACCGCCUAUCAGGCCCCUGACUGAUUCUACCAUAGAGGCCAACAAUAGACUUACAAUUUGAAUAAAGAAAAAAAUUGUAUUUCGGAUAAAAUCCCCAGCUCUACUAUACAUUCCUAAACGGAGCGUAGUUCAUUCUGUUUUGUCAAUUGCUAAAUUCUGCAGAAUUUCAAGAUGUGGAGUUAAAAGUUUUUCUUUUAGUGUUUUCAUUCCUCUUCAAAAUCUUAUUUUUGUGAUAAAAAUAGUUACUUUGAAACUUAGUACUAUUUUUGUUUUGAAUUGUUUGAUGGUAUUAUUUGAAUGAGAAUCAAAUUUGGUUUAGCGUUUGAUGUGAAAUAGUACAUAGUAAUCUCUCAGCAGCAUCCUUUAUUGUGGAUUCAGUCUCACUUGUUGAGCACAUUUAUCAUUUUACUUGUUUUGGAUUUCAGGAUGUGCGUUUGAGUUAAAUAUACCAUGGGUACUGUGGUUGGAACUGUUGUUGAGGAGUGCAGAGAGUUGUUUGAAGGGCAGUGCUCAGACAAGGAUCACACCCAACAACUCAGAUUGCCUACAAGCUUGUCUGGGUUGCAGGAGAUGGGAGACUAGUGCCUGCAACCGAUGAAGAAAUUUUGGAGGUGAACGAGUCGGAUAUGUAUACUGCAUCAGAUGCUUCUCAGACUAUAGGCUACCUUCCUGCCCAAGGGUUACCUCCUCGGUUGUCCCACCCACAUUAAAUUUCUCAAGACCAGGUGAAAAGAAAUCAGAAUCUAUCUGAAAAUCUGAGGUCAGGUCUAUUAUCGUAUCCUCAAGGAAGAGAGUUGCCGUCACCAGGGUGGUAUCCUUUGCUGGAUCUGAAAUUGAGGUUCCAUAUGUUUCUCAUGUCAGAAGAAGCCGUCCAAGUGAGUACAUUAUUUUUGGCUCUUAUAGUAUUUAUCUUGGUUACUCAUUCUUCUCAAUAUUGCACAUAUGGGAAAAACGAUUUGUGUAUGUUCUUGUGUGCGUAGUUAGCUUUGCUUUUAAGUUGAACCGUAAUCAAGGAUAAUGCAAUGUAGGGUCGAUAACAUAGCAAGGGAGAGAAGAAGUGUUAGAUAAGAUACAGUUUCUGUAGAGUUGUGUAACUUUAUAAGGAAUCUUUAUGAUAUAUGAUAACACUAUAACAAAUAUUAAGUUAAUGAUCUUCAUUUCGAACU